rfam:Oryza sativa (indica cultivar-group) chromosome 7, whole genome shotgun sequence.
UUCAAGUGUAAUUGUGAGUUUCCGUAUCCAAUGUUUGAUUGUCUAUUUUAUUUAAUUUUUUUAUGAUUAAUACUUUUAUUGUUAUUAGAUGAUAAAUUAUAAAUAAUAUUUUAUGUGUGACUUUAUUUUUUAAUUUUUUUUAUAAAAUUUCAAAUAAGAUGGAUGGUCAAAUGUUGGACACCAAAACUUACAACCACACUUAAA